rnacentral:rRNA from 1 species
ACAUCUUCGGAUGUGGAGCGUACACAGGUGGCUGCAUGGCUGCGUCAGCUCGUGUCGUGAGAUGUUGGGUUAAGCCCGCAACGAGCGCAACCCUGCAUUCAGUUGCCAUCGGUGAGGCCGGGCACUCUGGAUGGACUGCCGGCGACAAGCCGGAGGAAGUGGGGACGACGUCAAGUCAUCAUGGCCCUUAUGUCCAGGGCGACACACGUGCUACAAUGGCCGGCACAGCGGGAAGCGAAGGGGCGACUCUGAGCGGAUCCCUUGAAGCCGGUCCCAGUUCGGAUUGCAGUCUGCAACUCGACUGCAUGAAGUUGGAAUCGCUAGUAAUCGUGGAUCAGCCAAGCCGCGGUGAAUACGUUCCCGGGCCUU